rnacentral:lncRNA from 1 species
AAAAUAAUCAAAGAAAAUGAAGCUUCAAAAUGUGUGACAUUGAACACAUAAUCAAUUACAGAAAAGUUGCUAUGUUUUGGCACUAAAAGCAACCGCAAGCCACAACUACCAGCAUGUCAAGGAUUAAAUUUGUUUUGGCACCAAAAGUAAACCACAAGUCACAAGAACCAGCAUGUCAAGGAUUGAAUUUGUUUGGGCACUAAAAGCAACCGCAAUCACAAGCCACAAGUACCAGUCCAACCCCUUAACCUACAGCUUAAUUGCAGAAACCUUAUGAGCCCUCAAACUGAUAUAUAUUGCCGAAUCUUGGUAAGAAGAAGCAAAGGAGAGAAAAGGGGUUUUCCAGGAAUGAAAGAAAAUGAAAAUGAAUACCUUGAAAACGGCAUAAUUAGAAAACAACAUGCUCAGUUAGUAAGCAAUAAAGAAUAUUUAGUUUAAAUGACAGGAAGGAAGUCUAAUUCAUUAUGCACUCCUUUGUGCUAAUAGGAACCAUUUCAUAGUCGAGCAUAAGAACAAUCAGAAACAGAAACUUAUAUAAUAUCCAAGGCAACACCAAUGUUCGUGAAGAGAAUUCAGAAUUACGAACAGCCAAAAACAAAACUUGAAAAUAACCUACAUAAAAGCGUUCAAUGUUAUAUUUCAUAUUUACUCCAGGCUAAUGUUAUUUUCUCCACCAAUUUUAAAAACAUUGAGCAUGACUAACUAUCCACAGAAGCAAGUAAGAAAACGAAAUUCUAAAUUCCACAAAAGAAACCAACUACUGCAAAACUUGAGAGCAUCAGGAAUAACCAUUCUCUUGUCUUGUCAUAUGGUGCAAGAAUCCCCUCAUAAGCCUUCAAUUCACACCAGCGAAAGCUGCCACCCCAUGCUUAGUCUUUGCAAGGAAUCAUCCUGCAAUCAAAGAAAAUAUCAAUUACCAUAAGGACAGUCAAAAUGAAGCCCAGUUAUAUACUCCAUAUAUGCUGAAGCCAAACACAUUGCCUUUGCACCAUAAGAUUCAUAGACCUUGUCAGCUAUUAGUUUUCUCUCAAUCCAACAAUAAUAACCUGAAGCACACUCAUUCUACUCUCUUUCAAUUCGUC